rnacentral:rRNA from 1 species
CCUACGGGUGGCAGCAGUGGGGAAUAUUGGACAAUGGGCGAAAGCCUGAUCCAGCCAUGCCGCGUGUGUGAAGAAGGCCUUCGGGUUGUAAAGCACUUUCAGUGGGGAAGAAAGCCUUGGGGCUAAUACCCUCGAGGAAGGACAUCACCCACAGAAGAAGCACCGGCUAACUCCGUGCCAGCAGCCGCGGUAAUACGGAGGGUGCGAGCGUUAAUCGGAAUUACUGGGCGUAAAGCGCGCGUAGGCGGUCUGAUAAGCCGGUUGUGAAAGCCCCGGGCUCAACCUGGGAACGGCAUCCGGAACUGUCAGGCUAGAGUGCAGGAGAGGAAGGUAGAAUUCACGGUGUAGCGGUGAAAUGCGUAGAGAUCGGGAGGAAUACCAGUGGCGAAGGCGGCCUUCUGGACUGACACUGACGCUGAGGUGCGAAAGCGUGGGUAGCAAACAGGAUUAGAUACCCUAGUAGUC